rnacentral:rRNA from 1 species
GUUAUCGUUUAUUUGAUAGUACCUUACUACUUGGAUAACCGUGGUAAUUCUAGAGCUAAUACAUGCUAAAAACCCCAACUUCGGGAGGGGUGUAUUUAUUAGAUAAAAAACCAACGCCCUUCGGGGCAUCUUGGUGAUUCAUGAUAACUUUACGGAUCGCAUGGCCUUGCGCCGGCGACGGUUCAUUCAAAUUUCUGCCCUAUCAACUUUCGAUGGUAAGGUAUUGGCUUACCAUGGUUUCAACGGGUAACGGGGAAUUAGGGUUCGAUUCCGGAGAGGGAGCCUGAGAAACGGCUACCACAUCCAAGGAAGGCAGCAGGCGCGCAAAUUACCCAAUCCCGACACGGGGAGGUAGUGACAAUAAAUACUGAUACAGGGCUCUUUUGGGUCUUGUAAUUGGAAUGAGUACAAUUUAAACCUCUUAACGAGGAACAAUUGGAGGGCAAGUCUGGUGCCAGCAGCCGCGGUAAUUCCAGCUCCAAUAGCGUAUAUUAAAGUUGUUGCAGUUAAAAAGCUCGUAGUUGAAACUUGG